rnacentral:rRNA from 1 species
GUACACGCUGUGACUAGCAUAUCAAUAAGCGGAGGAAAAGAAACUAACAAGGAUUCCCCUAGUAACGGCGAGUGAAGCGGGAAGAGCUCAAAUUUGAAAUCUUAAAGGGUUUCCCUUUACGAAUUGUAGUUUAAAGAAGUGUUUUCUGUUGAGGUUUUGGUAAAAGUUCUUUGGAAUAGGACAUCAUAGAGGGUGAGAAUCCCGUAUUUGACCUUUACUUUCAACUUUGUGAUACACUUUCAAAGAGUCGGAUUGUUUGGGAAUGCAGUCCAAAAUGGGUGGUAAAUUUCAUCUAAAGCUAAAUAUUGGCGAGAGACCGAUAGCGAACAAGUACCGUGAGGGAAAGAUGAAAAGAACUUUGAAAAGAGAGUUAAACAGUACGUGAAAUUGUCAAAAGGGAAGCGUUUGACACCAGUGUUGUUUUUCUGAAAAUCAAUUAAAGAACUGUUUAUGCUAAGUUGUUUAGACUUUAUCAGCUAACUGUUUAGUUUUGAGCUUUUCUUUAAUGCACUUUUCAGUUAACAAGUCAACAUCAAUUUCUUUUGCUGUAAAAAAGCUUGAGGAAGGUGGCUUGAGAUUCGUCUUAAGUGUUUAUAGCCUCUUGCCUAUGCAGUCGGAGAGAUUGAGGUCAUGCAGCGUAGAUCCUUCGGGGCUAAAUGCAUUUGUGCUAAGUUAUAGCAUUUAUAGACAAUUUGUUGACUAUGAUUUGUCUUGUAGCUUACUCGCUUAUGUUAUUUUACCUACGCUUAGGAUGUUGACAGCAGUAUAGACUGU